rnacentral:rRNA from 1 species
GACGUAGGGUGCGAGCGUUGUCCGGAUUUAUUGGGCGUAAAGAGCUCGUAGGCGGCUCGUCGCGUCGACCGUGAAAACCAGCAGCUUAACUGCUGGCUUGCGGUUGAUACGGGCGGGCUAGAGUUCGGUAGGGGAGACUGGAAUUCCUGGUGUAGCGGUGAAAUGCGCAGAUAUCAGGAGGAACACCGGUGGCGAAGGCGGGUCUCUGGGCCUUACCUGACGCUCAGGUGCGAAAGCUAGGGGAGCGAACAGG